AUGGCACUCGUCCCACACGGCGGCGGCGUGGGCGGAUCAGCGAUGAUGGCGAUGCCGAUGCUGACCGCGGACAACUACACGGUCUGGGCCAUCAAGGCGCAGGAGAUCCUCGACGUCCACACCGUAUGGAAGGCGGUGGCGCCGGGCGACGUGGCGGUGAACACGCAGAAGGACAAGAUGGCACGCGCGUUGCUUCUCGGGGCAUUGCCGGAGGAUGUGCUGCUGCAGGUGUCGACAAAGCUCACCGCCAGCGAGGUAUGGGACUCCCUGAAGGUGAGGUUCGUCGAUGCCGAUCGGGUCUGCGUGGCAAGGCUGGCGACACUGCGCGGCGAAUUUGACUGCCUGAAGAUGGCGAACGGCGAGGAGCUCGACGUGUACGGCGGGAGGCUCGCGGCGAUGGCGGCGAGGUACACCAACCUCGGGGAGACACUGGGCGACGCAGCGCUCGUCAAGAAACUGCUGGAUACGGUGCCGGAUCGGCUCUUCCCAUCGUCGCCGACAUCGAGCAGUUCCACGACGUGA
rnacentral:rRNA from 1 species